UACGUAGGAUCCGAGCGUUGUCCGGAUUUACUGGGUGUAAAGGGUGCGCAGGCGGACUGGUAAGUCAGUGGUGAAAUCUCGUCGCUUAACGACGAAACUGCCUUUGAUACUAUCAGUCUUGAGUCCGGUAGAGAUCUGUGGAAUUCCGAGUGUAGCAGUGAAAUGUGUAGAUAUUCGGAAGAACACCAGUGGCGAAGGCAGCAGAUUGGGCCGGUAUUGACGCUCAGGCACGAAAGCAUGGGGAUCAAACAGGA
rnacentral:rRNA from 1 species